rnacentral:rRNA from 1 species
AUUGAACGCUGGCGGCAGGCCUAACACAUGCAAGUCGAACGAGUGGCGGACGGGUGAGUAAUGUCUGGGAAACUGCCUGAUGGAGGGGGAUAACUACUGGAAACGGUAGCUAAUACCGCAUACCAUCAGAUGUGCCCAGAUGGGAUUAGCUUGUUGGUGGGGUAACGGCUCCCAAAGGCGACGAUCCCUAGCUGGUCUGAGAGGAUGACUAGCCACACUGGAACUGAGACACGGUCCAGAUUCCUACGGAGGGCGUCAGUGGGAAAUAUUGCACAAUGGGCGCAAGCCUGAGGCAGCCAUGCCGGGUGUAUAAAGAAGGCCUUAGGUUUGUAAAGUACUUUCAGCGGGGAGGCGUUACCCGCAGAAGAAGCACCGGCUAACUCCGUGCCAGCCGCCGCGGUAAUAC